UACGUAGGGGGCUAGCGUUGUCCGGAAUCACUGGGCUUAAAGCGUGUGUAGGCGGAUGCCUAAGUACCUUGUGAAAUCCCACGGCUCACCCGUGGAACUGCUCGGUAUACUGGGUGUCUUGAGCCACUUAGGGGCUACCGGAACAAAUGGUGGAGCGGUGAAAUGCGUAGAUAUCAUUUGGAACGCCAAUGGUGAAAACAGGUAGCUGGGAGUGUGCUGACGCUGAGACACGAAAGCCAGGGGAGCAAACGGG
rnacentral:rRNA from 1 species